GAUGAAGAACGCAGUGAAAUGCGAUAAGUAAUGUGAAUUGCAGAAUUCAGUGAAUCAUCGAAUCUUUGAACGCACAUUGCGCCCCCCAGAAUUCUGGCGGGCAUGCCUGUUCGAGCGUCAUUUCAACCAUCAAGCCCUGCUUGUGUUGGGGUCCUGCGGCUGCCCGCAGGCCCUGAAAACCAGUGGCGGGCUCGCUAGUCACACCGAGCGCAGUAGCACAUCUCGCUCAGGGCGUGCGGCGGGCUCCAGCCGUUAAAGCACCCACCUUUCGCAAGGUUGACCUCGGAUCAGGUAGGAAUACCCGCUGAACUUAAGCAUAUCAAUAAGCGGAGGA
rnacentral:misc_RNA from 1 species